UACGUAGGGUGCAAGCGUUGUCCGGAAUUAUUGGGCGUAAAGGGCUCGUAGGCGGUUUGUCGCGUCUGCUGUGAAAACCUGAGGCUCAACCUCGGGCUUGCAGUGGGUACGGGCAGACUAGAGUGCGGUAGGGGUGACUGGAAUUCCUGGUGUAGCGGUGGAAUGCGCAGAUAUCAGGAGGAACACCGAUGGCGAAGGCAGGUCACUGGGCCGCAACUGACGCUGAGGAGCGAAAGCAUGGGGAGCGAACAGG
rnacentral:rRNA from 1 species